rnacentral:rRNA from 1 species
GAUGAACGCUGGCGGCGUGCCUAAUACAUGCAAGUCGAGCGAACAGACGAGGAGCUUGCUCCUCUGAUGUUAGCGGCGGACGGGUGAGUAACACGUGGAUAACCUACCUAUAAGACUGGGAUAACUUCGGGAAACCUGAGCUAAUACCGGAUAACAUGUUGAACCGCAUGGUUCAACAGUGAAAGACGGUCUUGCUGUCACUUAUAGAUGGAUCCGCGCCGCAUUAGCUAGUUGGUAAGGUAACGGCUUACCAAGGCAACGAUGCGUAGCCGACCUGAGAGGGUGAUCAGCCACACUGGAACUGAGACACGGUCCAGACUCCUACGGGAGGCAGCAGUAGGGAAUAUUCCGCAAUGGGCGAAAGCCUGACGGAGCAACGCCGCGUGAGUGAAGAAGGUCUUCGGAUCGUAAAACUCUUUUAUUAGGGAAGAACAAAAGUGAAAGUAACUAUGCACGUCUUGACGGUACCUAAACAGAAAGCCACGGCUAACUACGUG